rnacentral:rRNA from 1 species
UCCCAGACUCCUACGGGAGGCAGCAGUGGGGAAUAUUGCACAAUGGGCGAAAGCCUGAUGCAGCAACGCCGCGUGAAGGAAGACGGUUUUCGGAUUGUAAACUUCUGUUCUUAGUGAAGAAUAAUGACGGUAACUAAGGAGCAAGCCACGGCUAACUACGUGCCAGCAGCCGCGGUAAUACGUAGGUGGCAAGCGUUGUCCGGAAUUACUGGGUGUAAAGGGAGCGUAGGCGGGAAGCCAAGUCAGCUGUGAAAACUACGGGCUUAACCUGUAGACUGCAGUUGAAACUGGCUUUCUUGAGUGAAGUAGAGGUUGGCGGAAUUCCGAGUGUAGCGGUGAAAUGCGUAGAUAUUCGGAGGAACACCGGUGGCGAAGGCGGCCCCCUGGACGAAGACUGACGCUCAGGUGCGAAAGCGUGGGGAGCAAACAGGAUUAGAUACCCGGGUACAG